UUUUUAUUUUCUAUUUUUCAGUUGCUAUUCAUUACUCUUUAUCAAGGAUUUAUCUUCUUAUUCAUCUUUCAGAUCUGAAACGGCUUCUGACGGGACCAUCAAAUCUGAAAUUAAAACCACAAAAAUCACCAGAUUUGAAAUCAAAACCAAUGGAUCUGCAUUGUUCUACAUCAAUGAGGCAUAACAUAUCUAUUUCCUCAAUGAGUUUUUCUCUUAACUACUUUUUCACUAUUUGUGUGAAAGUAACUGUAGCUUGAUGGAAUAUGGAAUUUUUGGGAAGCUGUUGAAAUUUUUGAGGUUCCCACAUGCUACUACUGGUGUUUGAUGUUCUGCUUGCUUCAAAAACUAGGUUUG